rnacentral:lncRNA from 1 species
UGCAUGGAAUUUUAGUGAAUCCAGAGGCCUUGUUCCCCGUAAUUUGGAGUUCUCCUUCGAAUUUGACCAACUCAGGUAGAGUUAAUCAAAUCUGAUGGAAGAAAACCAAAAUAACAAAACAAAUAUGAUUACUGAGGACUUUUAAUGGAAUGAGGCUCACGCUGAACACUGCUGUCUACCAUCUAUGAAGCAGGAAAAAACUCAAACUCACUUUCUCUGUUGGAAGGGAGCAGAAACUCCAGAAAGGACUUGCUGGCCCUCCAUCAUCAUGGAAACAGGAAAACUAAUCUUCCUUGUUGGAAGUGAGUAAAACUCCAGGAAAGGAGUUAUAAAGCAAAAUGAACCUUAGACCUCAACCAAAUUUGGGGAGAGCAAUGAUUCUCUGAAGGGACCUCCCAGACCUCAGCAAAUUGUAUUAUUGGUUUGAGCAAUAAAGAUAGGCCAAGCUGGUACCAAGCAUGGAUGGAUUUGUCAAAGAUCAGGCCACCUCAUCUCUUCCA